GACGAACGCUGGCGGCGUGCUUAACACAUGCAAGUCGAACGAAGAGCGAUGGAAGCUUGCUUCUAUCAAUCUUAGUGGCGAACGGGUGAGUAACGCCUAAUCAACCUGCCCUUCAGAGGGGGACAACAGUUGGAAACGACUGCUAAUACCGCAUACGAUCUAAUCUCGGCAUCGAGGAUAGAUGAAAGGUGGCCUCUACAUGUAAGCUAUCACUGAAGGAGGGGAUUGCGUCUGAUUAGCUAGUUGGAGGGGUAACGGCCCACCAAGGCGAUGAUCAGUAGCCGGUCUGAGAGGAUGAACGGCCACAUUGGGACUGAGACACGGCCCAGACUCCUACGGGAGGCAGCAGUGGGGAAUCUUCCGCAAUGGACGAAAGUCUGACGGAGCAACGCCGCGUGAGUGAUGACGGCCUUCGGGUUGUAAAGCUCUGUUAAUCGGGACGAAAGGCCUUCUUGCGAAUAGUGAGAAGAAAUGACGGACCGGAA
rnacentral:rRNA from 1 species